ACAGGGGUUGUACCCCGCCUCCGA
rnacentral:siRNA from 1 species